GAUGAACGCUGGCGGCGUGCCUAAUACAUGCAAGUCGAGCGGCAGCACGGUCUUCGGACUGGUGGCGAGCGGCGGACGGCUGAGUAACGCGUAGGAACAUGCCCCAAAGUGAGGAAUAACUGCCCGAAAGGGUGGCUAAUGCCGCAUGUGGUCUUCGGACUAAAGCUUUAUGCGCUUUGGGAGUGGCCUGCGUCUGAUUAGCUUGUUGGUGAGGUAAUGGCUCACCAAGGCGACGAUCGGUAGCUGGUCUGAGAGGAUGAUCAGCCAGACUGGAACUGAGAACGGUCCAGACUCCGACGGGAGGCAGCAGUAGGGAAUUUUCCACAAUGGGCGAGAGCCUGAUGGAGCAACGCCGCGUGCAGGAUGAAUGCCUUCGGGUUGUAAACUGCUUUUAUGUGCGAAGAAUUUGACUGUAACACAUGAAUAAGGAUCGGCUAACUACGUGCCAGCAGCCGCGGUAAUAC
rnacentral:rRNA from 1 species